AGGUUAAGUUAACAAGGGCGCAUGGUGAAUGCCUUGGCACUAGGAGCCGAUGAAGGACGGGACUAACACCGAUAUGCUUCGGGGAGCUGUACGUAAGCUAUGAUCCGGAGAUUUCCGAAUGGGGCAACCCAGCAGUUUUAAUCAACUGUUACCACUAGAUGAAUUCAUAGUCUAGUUGGAGGUAAACGCUGUGAACUGAAACAUCUCAUUAGCAGCAGGAAUAUAAAGAAAUUUCGAUUCCCUAAGUAGCGGCGAGCGAACGGGGAACAGCCCAAACCAAAGUGCUUGCACUUUGGGGUUGUAGGACUGAACAUUUGAGUUACCAAAGAACUUGAUAGUCGAAGGAUUUGGGAAAAUCCGCCAUAGAUGGUGAUAGCCCAGUAGAUUAAAUCAAAUUCUCUCAGUUCAGGAUCCUGAGUACGGCGGAACACGUGAAAUUCCGUCGGAAUCCGGGAGGACCAUCUCCCAAGGCUAAAUACUACCUAGUGACCGAUAGUGAACCAGUACCGUGAGGGAAAGGUGAAAAGCACCCCGGGAGGGGAGUGAAAUAGUUCCUGAAACCAUGUGCCUACAAUAAGUCAGAGCGCGUUAAUGCGUGAUGGCGUGCCUUUUGUAGAAUGAACCGGCGAGUUAUGAUCCCGUGCAAGGUUAAGACUAAAAAGUCGGAGCCGUAGCGAAAGCGAGUCUGAAAUGGGCGAUUUGAGUACGAGGUUAUAGACCCGAAACCAGGUGACCUAUCCAUGUCCAGGUUGAAGGUGCGGUAAAACGCACUGGAGGACCGAACCCGUGUAAGUUGAAAAUUGCUGGGAUGAGGUGUGGAUAGCGGUGAAAUUCCAAACGAACUUGGAGAUAGCUGGUUCUCUCCGAAAUAGCUUUAGGGCUAGCCUCGGAUUAAGGAUCAUGGAGGUAGAGCACUAUUUGGACUAGGGGCCCGUCUUGGGUUACUGAAUUCAGAUAAACUCCGAAUGCCAUUGAUUCAUGUCCGGGAGUCAGACGAUGAGUGAUAAGAUCCACCGUCGAAAGGGGAACAGCCCAGACCAUCAGUUAAGGUCCCUAAAUGUAUGCUAAGUGGAAAAGGAUGUGGAGUUGCAUAGACAACUAGGAUGUUGGCUCAGAAGCAGCCACCAUUUAAAGAGUGCGUAAUAGCUCACUAGUCGAGUGAUCCUGCGCCGAAAAUGUACCGGGGCUAAGCAUACUACCGAAACCAUGGAUGCGACCAUUAGGUCGCGUGAUAGGAGAGCGUUCUAAGGGCGGUGAAGCAAGAUCGUGAGGACUUGUGGAGCGCUUAGAAGUGAGAAUGCCGGUAUGAGUAGCGAAAGAUAGGUGAGAAUCCUAUCCACCGAAUGACUAAGGUUUCCUGGGGAAGGCUCGUCCUCCCAGGGUUAGUCGGGACCUAAGUCGAGGCCGAGAGGCGUAGACGAUGGAUAACAGGUUGAGAUUCCUGUACUAGUUAAGUGCGUUUGAGCAAUGGAGGGACGCAGGAGGCUAAGAUGUGCAUUCUGUUGGAUUAGAAUGUCCAAGCAGUAAGUCUUGUGGAGAGUCAAAUGCUUUUCACUUUAAGGACAAGCUGUGAUGGGGAGCGAAAUUUAGUAGCGAAGCGUCUGAUGUCACACUGCCGAGAAAAGCUUCUAGUGAGUACUUAACUACCCGUACCGCAAACCGACACAGGUAGUCGAGGAGAGAAUCCUAAGGUGAGCGAGUGAACUCUCGUUAAGGAACUCGGCAAAAUGACCCCGUAACUUCGGGAGAAGGGGUGCUGAUCGCAAGAUCAGCCGCAGUGAAUAGGCCCAGGCGACUGUUUAUCAAAAACACAGGUCUCUGCAAAAUCGUAAGAUGACGUAUAGGGGCUGACGCCUGCCCGGUGCUGGAAGGUUAAAAGGAUGGGUUAGCUUCGGCGAAGCUCAGAAUUGAAGCCCCAGUAAACGGCGGCCGUAACUAUAACGGUCCUAAGGUAGCGAAAUUCCUUGUCGGGUAAGUUCCGACCCGCACGAAAGGCGUAACGAUCUGGGCACUGUCUCAACGAGAGACUCGGUGAAAUUAUAUUGUCCGUGAAGAUGCGGACUACCCGCGACAGGACGGAAAGACCCCAUGGAGCUUUACUGUAGCUUGAUAUUGAGUGUUUGUACAGCUUGUACAGGAUAGGUAGGAGCCAUAGAAACCGGAACGCUAGUUUCGGUGGAGGCGUUGGUGGGAUACUACCCUCGCUGUAUGACCACUCUAACCCGCACCACUAAUCGUGGUGGGAGACAGUGUCAGGUGGGCAGUUUGACUGGGGCGGUCGCCUCCUAAAAAGUAACGGAGGCGCCCAAAGGUUCCCUCAGAAUGGUUGGAAAUCAUUCGCAGAGUGUAAAGGCACAAGGGAGCUUGACUGCGAGACAGACAGGUCGAGCAGGGACGAAAGUCGGGCUUAGUGAUCCGGUGGUACCGUAUGGAAGGGCCAUCGCUCAACGGAUAAAAGCUACCCUGGGGAUAACAGGCUUAUCUCCCCCAAGAGUCCACAUCGACGGGGAGGUUUGGCACCUCGAUGUCGGCUCAUCGCAUCCUGGGGCUGUAGUCGGUCCCAAGGGUUGGGCUGUUCGCCCAUUAAAGCGGUACGCGAGCUGGGUUCAGAACGUCGUGAGACAGUUCGGUCCCUAUCCGUCGCGGGCGUAGGAAAUUUGAGAGGACCUGUCCUUAGUACGAGAGGACCGGGAUGGACAUA
rnacentral:rRNA from 2 species